AGAAAUGAAAGGAGAGUCUGUGCAGAUGGAAGCACUCCCCAGAGGAAGCAGUGGUUCCAUGCCAGCCUCUGCUGCAGGAAGGGAGGCCAUGCCAGGCACAGGCACAGGAGACUGGAGUCGUGACAUGGGUUUUCAGGAAGUCCUGAUGAAGGAUGGUUUGAAGUUCCUGGAGGAUGCUGGAGCUGAACCUGCCGGUGAAGGCCCCACAUCCAGGACUGAGGCUCUGGGAGAUGCUGAGGGUGUGUCUGCAGGGAGGACUUCUCAAGCUCCAGGGCUGGAUGCUUGGCCCCAACUCAGCUCCCAUGGCAGGGGUCCUCCAAAAGUAAAGACCCAAGAUACUGCAGCCAAAACGUCUCAUGAGGCAGAUGAAUUCCUGAGACAAACACAGAAGGAAGCACCCCGAGGACAAGUGAUGGACCAAAAGGCUGUGCAGAAGGAGGAGCACCCAGGGAGAAGCAGUGGCUCAUUGUCAGCUCGAGCUGCAGGAAGGAAGGCAAUGCCAGACACGGGCACAGGCACAGCAG